UCUUUGGUACCGGGAUUGAACUCAGGUCCUUGGGCGGCGUAAUCCACUGAGCUAAAUCCCUGGCCCUGGCCUUGAACUCGUGAUCCUCCUGCCUCGGCCUCCUGAGUGCUGGGAUUACAGAUCAUACAUGCUGAAGGCCCACUUGAGCUUCUGCUCCAGCUUCCCCGAGAAGUCACGCUCAGCGCGAUGAUGAACUCCCGGAAGUCGAUGGUGCCAUCACCGUUGGUGUCAAAGGUGCACGGAAGACAUGCUCAGGCGAACUUGGAGGCGUCGCCGUAGGGG
rnacentral:lncRNA from 1 species